rnacentral:lncRNA from 10 species
CUUAGGAGCACGUUCAUUGAAGGCUGACGCGUUAGGCACAAACAGGGAGAAAAUAUCUACUGGGGGAAGCUGAAUUGGUUUUAAUCAUCUGCUAAUCACCAGUAAUGAGACCUACUCUGGGGAAGAAAAGAAAAACAGAUAGUCAGAGGGAGGUUUUGUUCUUCACAGCAGAGUAACAUGGAAUGAGAGGGCAGCUGUUAUUAGGAAAGAAAGGAUAGAAAGAAAGAAGGGAUUUGGCCCUAGCAGAUGAAGCGUCCUCGGCGGCACUCUGUUUUGUUAGCCGAGUGUUCCUUUCAUUCAGUCCCUGAAACUUCAGAUCUUGCAGGCUCCCUGACAGCCCACCUCUACGAUAUUGCUUCUUGAAGAAAGGAACCUCCCCCUGUCACCUCGGCCUUUACAUUCGUUCCUGGAGCAUUUUACCAUAGCACUUUACACAGUAUUUUUGCUUGAGGAGAGAAGAAAAGGAACUAGCAAGGGGAGCUCUUGAUGGGUACCAAGGCAUAAAAAAAAGGGUGUGUGCAGGGGAGCGGGCAUGCAGAAAGUGCGGUGAGAGCAAUUGUGAUCCCUUGUCAUGGGAGGUAAGGCCCGACAAGGAAUUCAGGAAGGAAGAAUCAGUUGCAAAAUGGUCGGUCCCCGCCAAAUUGGGUAGACCGUCUUUUUAAGUCGCGGGCUCUGUGUUUCAGGAAACUCAAGUGUGGCUAGGACUUGGCUGCCAUUUUGGAUGCUGUUAUUUCACAGACCUUUUCUUCAAAGUUCCAAUUCUUGCAAUUGCUAAUAAUAUAACUGUGUUUCACACGGCGGCUUAGGAAUACCGUUCUACAUUGGACAGGUGCUCUCCAUGAGGAGAAGUUUAUAAUAUACCUGCCUGUAUAAUCUCUCUGGAGUAAUCAAUAUAUUCACGUAGGACUGAAUGAUUACAGGAGCUUCCAGGGCCACCGCUGACUCUUCCUUCUUAAGCUCUUGUAGGCUGAGCCAGGGGAAACCCAAAGCACAGCCACCCUGGGUUCCACCCUGGACCAGGCCCUUCAUCCUCAGCUUAAACGUCUUUCUCAGCUCUCAGCCAUCCUCAUACUGAAACCUAAACUCCUGGUACCUGGACCCACGUUGUCCUCAGUCUCUCCUUCCAGUCACCUGGCUUGGAUUCUGUUCAACAUGAGGGCUUGCUGUUUCCUGCAUGGCCUGGCCUGGCCCCAUGGUUUUGGUUGUUGGGAGAAUUAAGAAGAAUGGAUUUGGAAGGAUGCCUGAAUUGUUCACUAUCAGUAAUUCCUUGGCUUGAUAUUCCCAACACUAUUUUAUGAGAAAGCUGUUAACCAAUGUGAUGCUCGGAAGUAUACUACAUGUAUUGUCUCACUUCUAAAGAAUUAGUCAUCGGACGAUAUGCAAGUGAGGUGCGUUUCCCUGCGAUGAUUGCCACCAUCUGAAAUUUCCUUUCCUGCUGAUUUGGAACAUGCCGCCCCAUCUCCGUGCUUCAAGUUGUUCAAGAUGCGUUCGCAUGUGUGGGUAAGCACAGCUCAGCCUGCUGUGAGAGUCUGGUUAGCACAGGCUGGAAAGGCAGGC